rnacentral:rRNA from 1 species
UACAGAGGGUGCGAGCGUUAAUCGGAAUUACUGGGCGUAAAGCGUGCGUAGACGGUUAUUUAAGUCGGGUGUGAAAGCCCCGGGCUCAACCUGGGAAUUGCAUUCGAGACUGAAUAGCUAGGGUACGGUAGAGGGAAGUGGAAUUUCCGGUGUAGCGGUGAAAUGCGUAGAUAUCGGGAGGAACACCAGUGGCGAAGGCGACUUUCUGGCCUGUUCUUGACGCUGAGGCGCGAAAGCUAGGGGAGCAAACGGGG